rnacentral:sRNA from 1 species
AAAAAAGAAAGUUAAUUAAAAAAAGGAUGUAUAGAUAGUAAAAUGUUUCUAGAACUCCAGCUUGUAGUAUUUAAUAUUAGAACUGGACUGGUGUAGUGAUGGACGCCCUUAAAUCCAGCACUUGGGAGUUAGAGGCCAGCCUAGUCUGCAUAGCAAACUCCAGGCUAGCCAGUCUUAAAAAGCGAAGUAUUUGUAAGGAACGUAUCUUAAAAAACAUUCGUGAAACGGAAAUAACGCCAUGCCUGUGCUUGCCCCCUGGAGGCUAUUAGAGCGGACCUCUGAAGCAGGAUUCCACCACCCACCCCACCCCCAGCUCAGAGAGGGGCCUGGCCCUCGGCCAGCCGUGGCACACUAGAGAACUCACCCCAAGGCAGUCUGAUGAGCUAGUGUACCGGCCCCAAGCUCUGAGUCCUGAGAGCGCAAAUCUACCGCCCAAUGAAAUGAUACAAACGCUGGAACUUUGGGAACGGAUCCCAAGCUCUCACUGCCGUGCUCCCGAGACAGAGCCCUGUUGAUACCCACCAGUAAGAAGACUUGAGUCUGUGCGUGGCCUCAGUGACCGUUAGACUUCCGGCGCUGUCGCUGGCCCCACACAUACUCGCCCAGCAGUGCCAGCUGCGCUCCCAAAGACCCCUCGGAUCUCCCUCAGUGCCAACUUCCCAGCCUGCCUCAGCGGAAGGACUUCCUGGAAGACACUGGUGGAGCUCAGAAGCAUCCUCACGGGAGAAGUUUCCCCAGUGGAACCCAGCAGCAGCAUUUUGCCCGAACAACUCCACCCUACCCGAACCCCGGCCCGCGCUUGUGCCUUUCCAGUGUGUCAACGGCCUCUUAGGUCUGUGAACCGAAAAACUGCCUUCAGGUUUCCACAUUCAGCGUGGCCUUGUCAGGGAACCUGGCUAACCCUGGUGAAGAAUGAAGAAAGGACAGACACACAGGCAAUCUGGAAAUCUGGAGUCAGGAGUCAGAUACCAACUCCCAUGGCAAUGUGAAACUUUAGCACCUUUCUUAUCUACAGCACAGGCAGGGAGAUCUGCCUGGUGUGCCUUCUUCUACGGUAUGCAGGCCCUCACUCCCGAGACUCCAAGACUGAACAAA